CCUACGGGGGGCAGCAGUGGGGAAUAUUGGACAAUGGGGGGAACCCUGAUCCAGCCAUGCCGCGUGUGUGAAGAAGGCCCUCGGGUUGUAAAGCACUUUCAGUGAGGAAGAACGCCUGGUGGUUAAUACCCAUCAGGAAAGACAUCACUCACAGAAGAAGCACCGGCUAACUCCGUGCCAGCAGCCGCGGUAAUACGGAGGGUGCGAGCGUUAAUCGGAAUUACUGGGCGUAAAGCGCGCGUAGGUGGCUUGAUAAGCCGGUUGUGAAAGCCCCGGGCUCAACCUGGGAACGGCAUCCGGAACUGUCAAGCUAGAGUGCAGGAGAGGAAGGUGGAAUUCCCGGUGUAGCGGUGAAAUGCGUAGAGAUCGGGAGGAAUACCAGUGGCGAAGGCGGCAUUCUGGACUGACACUGACACUGAGGUGCGAAAGCGUGGGUAGCAAACAGGAUUAGAUACCCGGGUAGUC
rnacentral:rRNA from 1 species